GAUGAACGCUGGCGGCGUGCCUAAUACAUGCAAGUUGAGCGAACAGACGAGGAGCUUGCUCCUCUGACGUUAGCGGCGGACGGGUGAGUAACACGUGGAUAACCUACCUAUAAGACUGGGAUAACUUCGGGAAACCGGAGCUAAUACCGGAUAAUAUAUUGAACCGCAUGGUUCAAUAGUGAAAGACGGUUUUGCUGUCACUUAUAGAUGGAUCCGCGCCGCAUUAGCUAGUUGGUAAGGUAACGGCUUACCAAGGCAAUGAUGCGUAGCCGACCUGAGAGGGUGAUCGGCCACACUGGAACUGAGACACGGUCCAGACUCCUACGGGAGGCAGCAGUAGGGAAUCUUCCGCAAUGGGCGAAAGCCUGACGGAGCAACGCCGCGUGAGUGAUGAAGGUCUUCGGAUCGUAAAACUCUGUUAUUAGGGAAGAACAAAUGUGUAAGUAACUAUGCACGUCUUGACGGUACCUAAUCAGAAAGCCACGGCUAACUACGUG
rnacentral:rRNA from 1 species